rnacentral:rRNA from 1 species
GAGCUGGGUUUAGAACGUCGUGAGACAGUUCGGUCCCUAUCUACCGUGGGCGCUGGAAAUUUGAGAGGAUCUGCUCCUAGUACGAGAGGACCAGAGUGGACGAACCUCUGGUGUACCGGUUGUGACGCCAGUCGCAUCGCCGGGUAGCUAUGUUCGGAAGGGAUAACCGCUGAAAGCAUCUAAGCGGGAAGCCUACCUCAAGAUAAGAUUUCCCUAGGACUUUAUGUCCUCUAAAGAGCCGUUCGAGACUAGGACGUUGAUAGGUUGGAUGUGGAAGCAUAGUGAUAUGUGAAGCUGACCAAUACUAAUUGCUCGUGAGGCUUGACUAUACAACACCCA